rnacentral:piRNA from 1 species
UGGCCCAAUGGUGUCCUUUUCCACACUUA